AUUGAACGCUGGCGGCAUGCUUUACACAUGCAAGUCGAACGGUAACAGGGAGCUUGCUCCGCUGACGAGUGGCGAACGGGUGAGUAAUAUAUCGGAACGUGCCCAAGAGUGGGGGAUAACGUAGCGAAAGUUACGCUAAUACCGCAUACGAUCCAAGGAUGAAAGCAGGGGACCUUCGGGCCUCGUGCUCCUGGAGCGGCCGAUAUCUGAUUAGCUAGUUGGUGAGGUAAAGGCUCACCAAGGCGACGAUCAGUAGCUGGUCUGAGAGGACGACCAGCCACACUGGAACUGAGACACGGUCCAGACUCCUACGGGAGGCAGCAGUGGGGAAUUUUGGACAAUGGGGGCAACCCUGAUCCAGCAAUGCCGCGUGAGUGAAGAAGGCCUUCGGGUUGUAAAGCUCUUUUGUCAGGGAAGAAAAGGGUACGGCUAAUAUCCGUGCCUCAUGACGGUACCUGAAGAAUAAGCACCGGCUAACUACGUGCCAGCAGCCGCCGCCG
rnacentral:rRNA from 1 species